UUUUGCAUCAUGCUGUUUCGAUUAUAUAGUGUAUUACUUUUUACCGAAAAGGUUUGAUUUUUAAUUCAAUUGGAAUGAAGUUAUUGUCGAGUAGAGUAAUAAAUUGAUUUAAGGUUGUGAUAAAUAAGUCGUUUUCUUUUAUAUCUGUUUUUUGUCUGAGGUUUCUUUUUAUUUAUUAGGCGAGGAGGUCUAAUAAACAUGUAUAUGCUUGAGUUUUAGGUCUUGAAUAAAUAGGGUUAAAAAUCCCCCUUUAUUAGAGUUUUGUUACAAUUUAUUUUAAUUGUGUUGUGUAUUACAUUUAAAUGACAAAUAAAUUUAAUAGUUUGUUAUAUUUAUGAUACAAUGAGUAAUAUAAAAACUUAUAUUGUUUCUCAAGCAUAUUCCGUCUGUUUAUUAAAAACAUUUCUAUAUGAAAUUUUAUAUAGUAGGGCCUGCUCGGUGUUUUGUUAUUAAUGGCCGCAGUAUUUUGACUGUGCGAAGGUAGCAUAAUUAAUUGCCCUUUAAUUGGGGGCUUGUUUGAAUGGUCUGACGUGGUUAUUGUUAACAUUAUUUUUGUAUGUGAAAUUAAUUUUGAGGGCACAGAAUCCUCUUAGUUUAAUUAGACGGAAAGACCCCGGGAUCUUUUAAUUUUGCCUGGGGCAGGUUAUAUUUUUUCAAAUUUUAUAUUUUGAUCCUAGUUUAGGUUUAUUGAUUUAAGUUACCCCGGGGAUAACAGUGUAAUAAUCUAUUAGAGAUCUUAUCGAUUAGAUUGUUUGCCACCUCGAUGUUGACUUAAGUAUUAUAGUAGGGCGCAGUAGUUUUAUUAUGUGGUCUGUUCGACCUUGAUUACUUCCAUGAGUUGAGUUAAGACCGGCGUGAGCCAGGUCGGUUCUUAUCUAUU
rnacentral:rRNA from 1 species